rnacentral:rRNA from 1 species
GACGAACGCUGGCGGCGUGCUUAACACAUGCAAGCCGAACGGAAAGGCCCUGCUUGCAGGGUACUCGAGUGGCGAACGGGUGAGUAACACGUGGGUGAUCUGCCCUGCACUUCGGGAUAAGCCUGGGAAACUGGGUCUAAUACCGGAUAGGAGCCAUUUUUAUUGUGAUGGUUGGAAAGUUUUUUCGGUGUAGGAUGAGCUCGCGGCCUAUCAGCUUGUUGGUGGGGUAAUGGCCUACCAAGGCGGCGACGGGUAGCCGGCCUGGGAGGGUGGACGGCCACAUUGGGACUGAGAUACGGCCCAGACUCCUACGGGAGGCAGCAGUGGGGAAUAUUGCACAAUGGGCGCAAGCCUGAUGCAGCGACGCCGCGUGGGGGAUGACGGCCUUCGGGUUGUAAACUCCUUUCGCUAGGGACGAAGCUUUUUGUGACGGUACCUAGAUAAGAAGCACCGGCUAACUACGUG